rnacentral:lncRNA from 1 species
UUAAACAAGAAAAUCUACACAAAUAACAAGUCAUGAAUUAAUCUAGCAAAAUGUCUAUUUAUUUCCCAUGCAUCCUCAAAUUUCACCAAUAAUAUGUACGCUAUAUUUUUUAUUUCCAUGGAUAUCUGUCAACAAUAUUCGUGAGUAACAACACACAAACUAGUUGAGACAAGAUAUGAAAAUAAAAUAUUCAUACUUAUCACACAACACAAAUAUAUUCGACGAUCUACCCGUUUAUCCCAACGCAACCUAAAACCUAGAGCUCUGAUACCACUUUAACUGUCACGCCCCGAGACCGGGCCUAGGCGAGACAGCCGCCGCGCGCCUAUAGACCAGGGGCCUAUAGUCACGCAAGGCGUGAUUAAGCAGGCAUAAACCAACAGUGGAUCACAAAAGCUCAUAUAUUAACUAUACAAAUUCCUUUACAUUUACAAAAUGGCUCAAAUAAAUUAUUUUCUAGUCGCUUCCCACCCACUGGUCCAGCCUAUUCUUCUAUGACAUCUUCUAAACAUGCUUAUGUUACAUUGUCUGCAUCUAGAAAAACAGAGAAAGCAAGGGUUAGUACGACAAGUCAUACUCAGCAAGUAGGUACUUCACUAUUCAACAAAGAAGAAUAGUAUGGUAGUGUAUCUCAACAGAUGAACUUGAUCCAUAGGAUAAACAAGGUAAUAAUCAUCGAAACGUAUUUUGGUGGAAAUGGACAAAAGAACAUAUAACUAGAUUUAAUGGAAACAACCAGGAAUUUAUCGGCGUCACACAUGACCGCAAGCUUCCCAACCCGGGAGUCACAGGGGUGAAAUUUCACACUUUACGCUCUUAAGAGGGGUACUCCGACGUCGACAGCCUCAACUAGAACCACACAGGUUCCAGAAGAGCAGAGCUCUUUAUUCCCCCAAGAACCGACCACUCGACUUACUAGUGUCGAUCGCUCCUACUGAUCCAUCAUCGACACGCUUCCAACGAGUGCCGUUCUUAGCGGAGAACUCAGACAGUCCCAUACCUGAACUGUGAUCGGUACAAUACGUUUGCCGUCGUGACACCAAUAGAGAUGGGUGUGUGUUUAAAUCAAAUGAUAGGAUCAUUCAAAUACCAGUCAGAGACAAAACACUCAUGACUUUUCGUGAGUUCCUCCAAAAUACUCGGAUUCCAUCAACAAAUGGAUUAUGAGGACAACACAUCCCUUAACAAAGGAUCAACAAAGAUCAAGGUGCAACAAUAUAAUCAAGUACUCAAGGAAGACAACAAUAAGGCAUGCAGGGAGUUUAGCAAAGCAGCUACUUGCCUUAGAUAACAAGAUUCCUCCUUGGAGAUAAUAUUCUCCUAGCAAAUAAAUCCAUCAAUGUAUAAUCCAAUAGUCGUACAUAUACUAUACUAAUAUUCUCCGGACACACGGCUCAGUUCUUCACUCCAGCAGCACCUAUACGCCCCAUAUAACUCCUCCAUGUCUUGUCUCUCUCUCACUCACACGCUCUAUCUUCUUC